UAUGAGACCCAUAAGGAACUCUUCAGAGUCGAAAGAAAAUCAAUUUACUAGUUCGCUGUUUUGGCAGAUGCAUAAUUGGCACUGGAACUAAAGUAUUCAAUAAAUUGUGAUUUUAGUGCAUUGUGCUAGGGUUGGUAAUUUCUCCAGUAAUUCGAUUGAUUCCGCUUGGCGGUCAAUCAAGUAGAGUAACGAAACAUCUGUUUUCCGAAUUAACAAUAAAAUAGUAACCCCUAUAUGAAGGGUUACGCUUCUGCCCACUCAACUCUACGUUGCCACCAGGUCCCAGAGAUAUUCAUCACUUAAGACAGCAGUAACCAGUAUGAUGUUCCCCCGUUGCCUGCACCUCCCCUCCCGCGACCCAUGUGCUGUUAACCCUUUCGAAGCUCUGGCAUUUUUGGGCCAAAUGAAGCAUUCCGCUUUGGGUUCGGGGCGACGAGGGGUCUCAUGUGUGAUACGGUUGACAGACUUUUAGCUUCAUUGCUUGAUUUGUUUAAAUGUCUUUACUGUGUUUGGUUUAUGGUUUCGGUGGCGUGGUGGGGGCUUCAAGGCUUCAAGGCUUGGAUGCUAGGAGGCUUGGAGGGGGGUGGCUUGGGGGAGCUGAGGGUUGGGACCAAAAAAUCUUGUUUUUGACGAGGAAAACUUUGUCGUCCAUUGCAUUUGCUGAUGGAUCAUAGAUACAAAAAGUUAUUUGCACAAGCUGAUAUCACCCCUCCCCAUCUUCCGCUUCCGCUUUCUGUUGGCUUUGUAAAUGUCAACAUAUGCAUAUAAUAAUAAAAACAAAUAUGACCGAA